rnacentral:rRNA from 1 species
UACGGAGGGGGCGAGCGUUAUUCGGAAUUAUUGGGCGUAAAGGGCGCGUAGGCGGCUGUACAAGUCAAAGGUGAAAUCCCUCGGCUCAACUGAGGAACUGCCUUUGAAACUGUACGGCUUGAGGCCGGGAGGGGGUAGCGGAAUUCCCAGUGUAGCGGUGAAAUGCGCAGAUAUCGGGAGGAACACCUAUGGCGAAGGCAGCUCGCUGGGACGUUACUGACGCUGAGACGCGAAAGCGUGGGGAGCAAACAGG